AUGGUGCAACAAUUUUAUGAUGAGCUUUUUACUUCUCAACCUUGUGAUACUUCUGCAGUUCUUGAUGCUAUUACUCCUAAAGUUUCUCCAAAAAUGAAUGAUGAUUUGUGUAAACCCUAUUCUAAUGAGGAGAUCAAGACCGCUUUAUUCCAGAUGGGGCCUACCAAGGCGCCGGGACCAGAUGGUUUUCCAGCAUUGUUUUACCAGACCCAUUGGAAUUUUCUGCAAGAAGAAAUUUGUCAGGCUGUUAGAAGUUUUCUUGAAGGAAAUCCAAUUCCUGAUGGUUUUUGCGAUUCAGUGAUUGUGCUUAUUCUGAAGGUGUCUAGGCUGAAGCAGCUUAAAUUUUUUAGGCCAAUCAGUCUAUGUAAUGUGUUGUACAAGAUUGCCUCUAAGGUGCUUGCUAACCGUUUAAAGUUGCUUUUGCCAGUUCUCAUUUCUGAUUUUCAGAGUGCUUUUGUGCCUGGCCGUUUAAUUACUGACAAUGCUCUUAUUGGAUAUGAGUGUCUGCACACUAUUCGACAACAGAGGGCUAAGCAACCUUUCUUUGCAAUGAAGAUUGAUAUGAUGAAGGCCUAUGACCGUGUGGAGUGGGAUUAUCUUCAUGGAUGUCUCUCCAAACUUGGUUUUGCCCUAGCAUGGAUUAAUUCCGUUAUGAGAUGUGUUACUAAUGUUCGCUAUGCUGUCAGGGUCAAUGGAGAUCUUACCGAGCCAGUUGUGCCCUCUAAAGGUAUCCGAUAG
rnacentral:rRNA from 1 species